rnacentral:rRNA from 1 species
GUCGUUGGUCUGAGAGGACGACCAGCCACACUGGAAUUGAGACACGGUCCAGACUCCUACGGGAGGCAGCAGUGGGGAAUUUUGGACAAUGGGCGAAAGCCUGAUCCAGCAAUGCCGCGUGAGUGAAGAAGGCCUUCGGGUUGUAAAGCUCUUUUGUCAGGGAAGAAACGGUGAGGGCUAAUAUCCUUUGCUAAUGACGGUACCUGAAGAAUAAGCACCGGCUAACUACGUGCCAGCAGCCGCGGUAAUACGUAGGGUGCAAGCGUUAAUCGGAAUUACUGGGCGUAAAGCGUGCGCAGGCGGUUUUGUAAGUCUGUCGUGAAAUCCCCGGGCUCAACCUGGGAAUUGCGAUGGAGACUGCAAGGCUAGAAUCUGGCAGAGGGGGGUAGAAUUCCACGUGUAGCAGUGAAAUGCGUAGAGAUGUGGAGGAACACCGAUGGCGAAGGCAGCCCCCUGGGUCAAGAUUGACGCUCAUGCACGAAAGCGUGGGGAGCAAACAGGAUUAGAUACCCUGGUAGUCCACGCCCUAAACGAUGUCUACUAGUUGUCGGGUUUUAAUUAACUUGGUAACGCAGCUAACGCGUGAAGUAGACCGCCUGGGGAGUACGGUCGCAAGAUUAAAACUCAAAGGAAUUGACG